GCGGAUGAUGGUCGACUGGAAGACCGGCUGACUGUAAAUCAGUUGCGGCAACGCGUAGAGAGUUCGAAUCUCUCCAUCCGUAC
rnacentral:tRNA from 4 species